rnacentral:rRNA from 1 species
AAAAAGCUCGUAGUUGGAUUUCUGUUGAGGGUGGUCGGUCCGCAUUAUGUGCGUGUAUCUGGUUCAGCCUUGGCAUCCUCCAGGGGAACGUUCCUGCGCUUCGUUGCGUGGGGCGGUAUUCUGGACUUUUACUUUGAGGAAAUUAGAGUGUUCACGGCAGGCAGUCGCCUUGAAUAUAUUAGCAUGGAAUAAUAAUAUAGGACCUUGGUUCUAUUUUGUUGGUUUCUAGAACUUAGGUAAUGAUUAAUAGGGACAAUUGGGGGCAUUUGUAUUAACACGUCAGAGGUGGAAUUCUUGGAUUGUGUUACGACGAACUACUGCGAAAGCAUUUGCCAAGGAUGUUUUCAUUGAUCAAGAACGAAAGUAUGGGGAUCGAAGACGAUUAGAUACCGUCGUAGUCUAUACCAUAAACUAUGCCAACUAGAGAUUGGAGGUCGUUUUAUUUAUGACUCCUUCAGCACCUUAUGAGAAAUC